AGUGAACGCUGGCGGUAGGCCUAACACAUGCAAGUCGAACGGCAGCACAGGAGAGCUUGCUCUCUGGGUGGCGAGUGGCGGACGGGUGAGGAAUACAUCGGAAUCUACUCUGUCGUGGGGGAUAACGUAGGGAAACUUACGCUAAUACCGCAUACGACCUACGGGUGAAAGCAGGGGACCUUCGGGCCUUGCGCGAUUGAAUGAGCCGAUGUCGGAUUAGCUAGUUGGCGGGGUAAAGGCCCACCAAGGCGACGAUCCGUAGCUGGUCUGAGAGGAUGAUCAGCCACACUGGAACUGAGACACGGUCCAGACUCCUACGGGAGGCAGCAGUGGGGAAUAUUGGACAAUGGGCGCAAGCCUGAUCCAGCCAUACCGCGUGGGUGAAGAAGGCCUUCGGGUUGUAAAGCCCUUUUGUUGGGAAAGAAAUCCAGCUGGCUAAUACCCGGUUAGGAUGACGGUACCCAAAGAAUAAGCACCGGCUAACUUCGUGCCAGCCGCCGCCGCCG
rnacentral:rRNA from 1 species